UACGUAGGGUGCGAGCGUUGUCCGGAAUUAUUGGGCGUAAAGAGCUCGUAGGCGGUCUGUCGCGUCGAUCGUGAAAACUUGGGGCUUAACCCUGAGCUUGCGGUCGAUACGGGCAUGACUGGAGUUCGGCAGGGGAGACUGGAAUUCCUGGUGUAGCGGUGAAAUGCGCAGAUAUCGGGAGGAACACCGGUGGCGAAGGCGGUUCUCUGGGCCUUACCUGACGCUGAGGAGCGAAAGCGUGGGGAGCGAACAGG
rnacentral:rRNA from 1 species